GUGCCAGCUGCCGCGGUAAUACCGGCAGCCCGAGUGAUGGCCGAUCUUAUUGGGCCUAAAGCGUCCGUAGCUGGCUGCGCAAGUCCGUCGGGAAAUCCAGUAGCUCAACUACUGGGCGUCCGGCGGAAACUACAAGGCUUGGGACCGGGAGGCUCGAAGGGUACGUUCGGGGUAGGAGUGAAAUCCUAUAAUCCCGCACGGACCACCGAUGGCGAAAGCACUUCGAGAAAACGGACCCGACAGUGAGGGACGAAAGCUGGGAUCUCGAACCGGAUUAGAAACCCCAGUAGUCC
rnacentral:rRNA from 1 species